rnacentral:rRNA from 1 species
CGGGGUGCAGCAGGCGCGAAAACUUUACAAUGCCGGCAACGGCGAUAAGGGAACCUCGAGUGCCAGGUUACAAAUCUGGCUGUCGUGAUGCCUAAAAAGCAUUGCAUAGCAAGGGCCGGGCAAGACCGGUGCCAGCCGCCGCGGUAACACCGGCGGCUCGAGUGGUAACCGUUAUUAUUGGGUCUAAAGGGUCUGUAGCCGGCCGGGUAAGUCUCUUGGGAAAUCUGGCAGCUUAACUGUCAGGCUUUCAGGAGAUACUGCCUGGCUCGAGGCCGGGAGAGGUGAGAGGUACUUCAGGGGUAGGGGUGAAAUCUUGUAAUCCUUGAAGGACCACCAGUGGCGAAGGCGUCUCACCAGAACGGACCUGACGGCAAGGGACGAAAGCUAGGGGCACGAACCGGAUUAGAUACCCGGGUAGUCCUAGCCGUAAACGAUACUCGCUAGGUGUCGGCCACGGUGCGACCGUGGUCGGUGCCGUAGGGAAGCCGUGAAGCGAGCCACCUGGGAAGUACGGCCGCAAGGCUGAAACUUAAAGGAAUUGGCGGGGGAGCACAAGGGCGAAUNGCG